UCCUCCUCCUCCAUCCACAGAGCGCCGGUGCCCCCUGCUGCCGCACCUUCUCCCACCGCAGCCAGCCUUGCCUCCAGCUGCCAGCUUCCAGAACGCUCCCUGAACGUUUCCAGGGCAUUCUUUGUGUAUGACUCACUAAGGUUUGCAGACGGGAGAGAGAGAGAGAGAGAGAGAGGCAGGGGUGCGUGCGCAGAGGGUUAUAAAUACUGUCUACAGCGCCAGCCAUCAGACAUCACCAAGGGCACAGGGAAGAAAGGAGAGGAGUGGAGAGGAGAGGAGCAGAGCUGGGCCUCCCGGCAUCCUCCUGACGGGAAGAAUGGAUGAGAAAUAACCUCAUGAAGAAAGAUGAAAGAAUAAUUUAUAAAGACCUCACUGGGUCCAUCUAUUACUAGCAUUUUUCCUAUUGCUAUUCUUUCUCUUCUGUGGCUGGUAACUGGUGGGAAGAACCUUGAAUGUGGGAGUCCAAGGACCCAGGGUAACUGGAGCCCAGUGUCAAGGAGUGGUUGACCCUACCACUGAAUUUACUUGCAUUCUGUGCCUACAAACUAGGAUUGGAGUGCUGUAUGCAGCUGCUGUUUUCCUGGUAUGCCGGAAGGCAGCCUGCUGAGCUGUGGAUGCCAGCAAGCUCUGUCUCCACGGUGACCAUGACCGGUCUCCUCCUUUUUCUUCACGCAGCCUCCUUGCCUUAAGAUUCUGGAAC